CUGAAUAAACAACAGGUCCUCAGUGAAAGCCGUUCCGGAGACCCGACCAGAUCCCAGCACUAACGUGGACACUGAAAAUCGUUGCUGGGGAGACGGCCUGGGGAGGGGCCGGGGCCGAUCGGGUGUCCGGCUCUCCGGAGCUCCCAUAGUCCCCCGGGAUCUCCAGCCUGGGGAUUCUCUGGGGUCCGGAGCGUCCUAGACGGCUGAGACCCCACGCCAUGGAGAGUCUGUGACUCUGUGAUCCGCAGGGAGGGGCAGCACCUCAGGGGUCGGAGACUGGAACUGAGAGUGACUUCCAGACACUGGAAAUGGGGAAAGGCUGGAACAGGGCCUUGUCUUUGGAAGCAGAAUAAUAACUGGACAGCCCACGGAACGGGAGAUGCACUUGAAGACAAGAUGGCGGACCAAGUUCUGUGGAGGAGAGUCUUUGUGGAGAAAGUCCAAGUUGAACCAUUGGGUGUGGCUACCAGCAAAGGUUAGGGAUGUUAGAAAAUGAGAAUUUUUUAAAAGAAAAGAAAUAAGGAAGAGAAGACAAGGCAAGGCAAAGCAAAGCAAGGGUGCCAUGAUGAUUGUGAGCCUCCAUUUCUUCAUCCAUAAAAUGAGCAUACUAAAGUUUCAGGUAGACUUCCAGAAUGGUUGAGUGGAUAAUACUCAGUCAAUCAACAAGCAUUAUAAAAUAGAAACCCCCAAUAAAUAAAUAAAUCAUUCAAUUAAUUAAUUAAUUUUAGAAAAAUAAAAAUGCUUGUUAAUCUCA